UGGGGAAUAUUGCACAAUGGAGGGAACUCUGAUGCAGCGACGCCGCGUGAACGAAGAAGGCUUUCGAGUCGUAAAGUUCUUUUAUAUGGGAAGAUAAUGACGGUACCAUAAGAAGAAGCCCCGGCUAACUACGUGCCAGCAGCCGCGGUAAUACGUAGGGGGCUAGCGUUGUCCGGAAUCACUGGGCGUAAAGGGUUCGCAGGCGGAAAUGCAAGUCAGGUGUGUAAGGCAGUAGCUUAACUACUGUAAGCAUUUGAAACUGCAUAUCUUGAGAAGAGUAGAGGUAAGUGGAAUUUUUAGUGUAGCGGUGAAAUGCGUAGAUAUUAAAAAGAAUACCGGUGGCGAAGGCGACUUACUGGGCUCAUUCUGACGCUGAGGAACGAAAGCGUGGGUAGCAAACAGG
rnacentral:rRNA from 1 species